rnacentral:rRNA from 1 species
UACGGAGGGGGCUAGCGUUGUUCGGAAUUACUGGGCGUAAAGCGCACGUAGGCGGCCUUGCAAGUUAGAGGUGAAAGCCCGGGGCUCAACUCCGGAAUUGCCUUUAAAACUGCAUCGCUAGAAUUGUGGAGAGGUAAGUGGAAUUCCAAGUGUAGAGGUGAAAUUCGUAGAUAUUCGGAAGAACACCAGUGGCGAAGGCGACUUACUGGACACAUAUUGACGCUGAGGUGCGAAAGCGUGGGGAGCAAACAGG